UGGGGAAUCUUCCGCAAUGGACGAAAGUCUGACGGAGCGACGCCGCGUGAGUGACGAAGGCCUUCGGGUCGUAAAGCUCUGUCGUCGGGGACGAACGGUCACAUCAGGAAAUGGGUGUGAAGUGACGGUACCCGAGAAGGAAGCCACGGCUAACUACGUGCCAGCAGCCGCGGUAAUACGUAGGUGGCGAGCGUUGUCCGGAAUUAUUGGGCGUAAAGCGCGCGCAGGUGGGAUCUUAAGUCUGUUUUCAAAGUGCGGAGCUUAACUCCGUGAUGGGAUAGAAACUGGGAUUCUUGAGUACCGGAGAGGAAAGCGGAAUUCCCCGUGUAGCGGUGAAAUGCGUAGAUAUGGGGAGGAACACCAGUGGCGAAGGCGGCUUUCUGGACGGUGUCUGACACUG
rnacentral:rRNA from 1 species